UGGCCUACGGGACGCAGCAGUGGGGGAUAUUGCACAAUGGGGGGAACCCUGAUGCAGCGACGCCGCGUGGGUGAAGAAGCGCCUCGGCGCGUAAAGCCCUAUCAGCAGAGAAGAAACAGGACAGUACCUGACUAAGAAGCCCCGGCUAACUACGUGCCAGCAGCCGCGGUAAUACGUAGGGGGCAAGCGUUAUCCGGAUUCACUGGGCGUAAAGGGAGCGCAGGCGGCAUGGCAAGUCUGAUGUGAAAACCCGGGGCCCAACCCCGGGAGUGCAUUGGAAACUGCCAGGCUGGAGUGUCGGAGGG
rnacentral:rRNA from 1 species